AGUUAAAAGCUCGUAGUUGGAUAUCUGGCCUUUGCACGGACUGCCCGCCUUCNGGUUGAGUGCUGGAAGUGCAGGUCUAUAUUCUGGUUGGCGUGCUUUCCCUUUAUUGUGGCGAGUAUCGCGAUCCGGAUCGUUUACUUUGAAGAAAUUCGAGUGUUCAAAGCAGGCUUACGCCGUGAAGAUUGCAGCAUGGAAUAAUGACAUAGGACUAUCGUGUUCUAUUUUGUUGGUUCUGGGACCGUAGUAAUGAUUGAUAGGGACAGUUGGGGGUGCUGCUAUUCCGCGGCCAGAGGUGAAANNCNCAGAUUCCCGGAAGAGCAACUUAUGCGAAAGCAUUCACCAAGGAUGUCUUCUUUAAUCAAGAACGAAAGUAGGGGGAUCGAAGACGAUCAGAUACCGUCGUAGUCUCUACCAUAAACUAUGCCGACUAGGGAUUGGUGGACGUUGUUUUAUCCGACUCCAUCAGCACCUUAUGAGAAAUCAAAGUCUUUGGGUUCCGGGGGGAGUAUGGUCGCAAGGCUGAAACUUAAAGGAAUUGACGGAAGGACACCACCAGAAGUGGAACUUGCGGCUUAAUUUGACUCAACACGGGAAAACUUUCCAGGUCCAGACAUAGUAAGGAUUGACAGAUUGAAGAUCUUUCUUGAUUCUAUGGGUGGUGGUGCAUGGCC
rnacentral:rRNA from 1 species